UACGAAGGGGGCUAGCGUUGCUCGGAAUCACUGGGCGUAAAGCGCACGUAGGCGGCUUUUUAAGUCAGGGGUGAAAUCCUGGAGCUCAACUCCAGAACUGCCUUUGAUACUGGGAGGCUUGAGUCCGGAAGAGGUGAGUGGAACUCCGAGUGUAGAGGUGAAAUUCGUAGAUAUUCGGAAGAACACCAGUGGCGAAGGCGGCUCACUGGUCCGGUACUGACGCUGAGGUGCGAAAGCGUGGGGAGCAAACAGG
rnacentral:rRNA from 1 species